GUCAACUGCCCCUACCUGAAGAACAGCGCAAGAGUUGAUUAUAGUGCUUUGAAACGUGAAAGAAAAGCAGAAGUUAGAUCGGAGAAAUACAUACACACCUACGGAUUCUCCGCAAGUCCGUAGCUCUGUGAAUCUGUCUUUAAACAGAGAGGCAACUCUGAGAGGACAGGUCUUAAAAACACUUUCUAACAACCCUAUGUGGAUCUACAGACAGGCAUGAC
rnacentral:sRNA from 1 species